GUAUCACUGUGGUACACUUUUGGUGGAGGAACCAAACUCAUCAUUAACUCUGGCACCAUGGUCAGGCCCUCAGUCUCUCUGCUUCCCCCCUCCUCUGAGCAGCUCUCUGGGGGCUCGGCCACGCUGGCCUGCCUGCUGACCGGCUACUCUCCUCAGGGAGCCGUGGUGAGCUGGCAGGUGGACGGUACGGAGGUGACGGAGGGGGUCCUGAGCAGCUCAGAGGAGGAGAAGAGCGGCCGCUACAGCAGCAGCAGCACCCUGAGCCUGAGCCAGGAGCGCUGGAUGGAAGGAGAGCUGUACUCCUGCAGGGUCCUCCAUCAGGGCCACAGCCAGACCCAGUCCCUCCACAGGAGCCAGUGUAAGGGCUAGAGGGGCCGGCUGAAGCCCAGGACAGGAGCUCUGUGUGGGGGGGAGCAGCUCUGAUCAAUAGCAGUUUGAAUGCUUGUAGAGGAAACUGAAGCUUUGUGUGACAGAGAACAACACUGCUGUAAAGUGUUGGACAACAACAACUUAGAGAGGAAUGUGUGUCGCUCAGC